GUGAAACCGUCUCCUUCUCCACAGCGACCGCGACUGGGGCGUUUUCCUUGGCGAAAGGCGGCAGCAGCGGUGGCAUCUUCCUCCGUCGAGCUCUUAUCGCUGCGGCGUUUUCCUCGGCAAACGGUGGAUGCUGCGGUUUCCUCUCCGUCGGCGAACGGUGACAGCGCCCGGUGGAUUUACGUGAUUGGUCGGGGAAUGUUAUCCGAUACAGAUGAUUAGUUGGAAGAUUUCAACUUCCUUUUGGUUGGAAGCAGAUACAGAAAUUAUAUUUAGUUCGGAUGCGCUUGAUUUGAGGUAGAAGAGGCAUUUGGACUUGGAGAGGGCAGCAAUAAAACUACUUUUCUUGUGUUUUUCUGCAAACAGUGUGUGAUACUGCUUCAAAAUAUAAUGUUUUUGGUGCAAAAGAGGCUCUUUUGCAUUCUCCCAUGUAACAAGUCCACCAUCCAUCUUUCUUCCUAUGAAAUCUGCAGUCUGUUUAGUAGCUUUUCCACCGCCAAAGACCAAAUUUCAGAUCAUAAAUCCAACUUUACCGUGGUCAAUUCCCUUCAAUCAUGUGAACUUUCCUCAGAAAAGGCUGCAAAAACAGCCAAGUGUCGCACCUGUCACACAAAAUCUUCAAGUUCAAGUCUCUCCAUUGAGUUCUUUAAGCAGAGUGGUUGGAGUGAUGCACAAGUCACGAAGCUUAUGCAGAGGGAACCCAGGCUUCUACGUGCUAGCGUAGAGACUAUCCUGAAGCCCAGGAUGAGAUCUUUGCAGGACAUGGGAUUUUCUGACACUGAAAUAGUUCAGCUGGUUUCAUCAUGUCCGAAUAUGCUCGUUUUACGUGACAUCCAACCGAGGAUCAACUUCUGGAUGUCACUUCUUGGUUCUAAUGAGAGGUUAAUCAAAGCCUGCAGGAGGAACAUGUUUCUCCUUACUUCUAGCUUGGCUCGAAAGAUUGAGCCCAAUAUAUCUCUCUUGAGGGAGUGUGGCAUCAGUGAGCAAUGCAUCGCGCAGAUGGUGGUGACACGACCAAGUCUUUUUUGUUGAACGAACAAAUGUAUCGGCGAAUCUAUCAAACAUGUUGAGGAGUUGGGUGUGUCACGUGACUGUAAAAUGUUCCCUCGUGCACUAUUAUCAGACAUGACCCUGAGCAGGUCCAGGUUUGAUGCUACCUUUGCAACCCUGAUGAGCUUUGGGUGAUCACAACCAGACAGCAUUGCUGCAUUCAGGAGGCAUCCAGCCAUUUGGAAUCUCUCAAAGAAGAACUUAUGUGAUAAGAUGACAUUCCUGAUGAAGGAAGCUGGUUGUGAGCUGACAUAUAUCAUUUAUCGUCCUGUGCUUCUUACAUAUAGCUUGGAGAAGAGGUUGAGACCUCGAUAUGAAGUUAUCAAUUUUCUUGAUCAGAAUAAAUUGCUGGAUAAAGGACAUAACCUGCUAUCUCUCGUUAAGCUAUCGGAAGAGAAGUUCAGAAACAAAUUCCUUUUCCUGCUUCGCAAGGAGAAAUUUAUUGCUCAAUAUGAUUCCUAUGUUGUUGCUGUGCAGGGAAAGUCCCACAUUGUUGCGGAAAACUAGGAUUGCAAGUGCUUCCUUAAGACUGUGUCAUCCUAUUGCAUGCUGAUUGCAAAUUAAUCAGUUUAUAUUUGUGACAAUUUAAAUUCUGCAAGAGUUUGUUGGAGUAUAACUUCCAUGUUGAUUUGGUGAUUGUUCUUCUAUUUAUUUUUUCCGACAACAAAA